AAGGUGUUAGUAAAAUAUUACAAGGCCUUGUCGUGGCCUAAUUGCCGGUCAAAGCCCUGCACAUCUUGU
rnacentral:tRNA from 1 species